CUUUUGUGUUGCUGCAAGUCGAUAAAGGAUGAGCUGAUUGUGAAUGUGAGCAGUGUUUUACAUUUUGCUCUCUCCAUGUUUAUUUGGAUGUUAUGCUUUAUGUGUUGAGAUCUAUUAGACUUUUCUAUCUUCUUAUAUCUGCACUACAGGACACUUACCAGAUAUAUGUCUUGUAGGCAAUAAUUCGCAUAAAUAACUUAGAACACACAAACACAGACACAGUUUAUUUUAUUUCAAAUGGC